rnacentral:lncRNA from 1 species
UAUAUUAGGUUCUUCAUCUUCAUCAUGAGCUACGAAUGCAUCAACUACCAUAUCAUGAACCCUAUCAUAAUCUACCAUCUAUUCCUGAUGGUAACUAUGUUCAUUAUUCAAAUGAUGAUUAACCGGUUCUUCCUGAAAAUUGCUAUUACUACUACUAGCUUCAUUCUGAUCAUAAUUAAAACCUUCCCCAUGUUGAAAC